CGCAGUCGACAGGAUUCGAACCUGUGCGGGAAGAUCCCAAUGGAUUUCUAGUCCAUCGCCUUGGCCACGACUGC